CAGUGACUGUCCAGGACUUUCAGAGACACUGACACGCUGGCAGCAUGAUGAUGAUGUCACUGAUUCUACUGCUGGCCACCCUGGGGCUCCUUGUUCAGGGUUCAUCAGGAGAAAUCAUCCUGACUCAGUCUCCUGGAUCUCAGUCUGUUGCUCCAGGACAGUCUGUCUCUAUCAGAUGUAAAGCUAGUUCAAGUGUUAGCUAUGACUUGCAGUGGUACCUUCAGAAACCUGGAGAAUCUCCCAAACUCUUGAUUUAUAAUGCUCAAUCCCGUCAGUCUGGAGUUUCAGAUCGUUUCAGUGGGACUCAGUCUGGAACUGACUUCACUCUGACCAUCAGUGGAGUUCAGACUGAAGAUGCAGGAGAUUAUUAUUGUCAACAGGAUAACAGCCGCCCGUUCACACAGUGAUACAACGUCGUACAAAAACCUCCUCAGCUGGAGAGGAACUGAUCUGACUCAACAGCUGCAGAAACCUACAGAAACAGAGACACUUUAGAAGUUUGACUGACACUAAAGUCUAUAUAAGACAAUAAUGUCAGGAAAUACUGCUCAUACUAUAGUAAGCUAUAAUAGUAAUCUUGUUGAAAAAGUGUACUUAACAGUGUAUUUAAAAUUAGAUUAUCUGAAAAUUAGAUAAGUCAAUAAAGCUAAUGCCAGUUUGUUUAGCUGUGAAAUCAAAUAUUUAGUUCCAUUUUAGUGUU